GUUCUUCCCUUUGCAGCAUAUACCCUAAAUUGGAAUGAUACAGAGAAGAUGAGCAUGGCCCCUGAGCAAAGAUGACAUGACAAUUUGUGAAACAUUCCGUAGUUUU
rnacentral:snRNA from 1 species